rnacentral:lncRNA from 1 species
UUAGAGUGAGAAUAAGGAGUGCGAGCGAUUGGGAGAAGACGAGUGGAGAUUUAGGGAAUGGAGACCAUCUUCGUGAGGAAGACGAGCGAAUCUCUGGAUUUGCAACGAGGUCUCUCACCUUCUUUUCUUUUAUUUAUUUUUUAAAAACCAAGCAUUUAAAACUUAAUAUUGUUUAGUCUUCCCUUGCACCUUUUUAUUUAAUUAGUGUCUAUCCAUUAAUCUCUUUUGGAAAUCCAACAGCCAGGCGGCUAGGGUUACUUUUUGGAUUCCUCCAUCGUUU